AUACGUAGGGGGCGAGCGUUGUCAGGAAUGAUUGGGCGUAAAGGGCGCGUAGGCGGCCCGGUAAGUCUGGAGUGAAAGUCCUGUUUUUAAGAUGGGAAUUGCUUUGGAUACUGUCGGGCUUGAGUGCAGGAGAGGUAAGUGGAAUUCCCAGUGUAGCGGUGAACUGCGUAGAGAUUGGGAGGAACACCAGUGGCGAAGGCGACUUACUGGACUGUAACUGACGCUGAGGCGCGAAAGUGUGGGGAGCAAACAGGAUUAGAUACCCUGGUAGUCCACACUGUAAACGAUGAAUGCUAGGUGUAGGGGGUAUCGACCCCUUCUGUGCCGCAGUCAACACAAUAAGCAUUCCGCCUGGGGAGUACGGCCGCAAGGUUGAAACUCAAAUGAAUUGACGGGG
rnacentral:rRNA from 1 species